UACGUAGGGUCCAAGCGUUAUCCGGAUUUAUUGGGCGUAAAGAGCUCGUAGGCGGUUUCGUAAGUCGGAUGUGAAAACUCAGGGCUCAACCCGGAGACGCCAUCCGAUACUGCGAUGACUUGAGUCUGGUAGGGGAACACGGAAUUCCUGGUGUAGCGGUGAAAUGCGCAGAUAUCAGGAGGAACACCGAUGGCGAAGGCAGUGUUCUGGGCCAGUACUGACGCUGAGGAGCGAAAGCGUGGGGAGCAAACAGG
rnacentral:rRNA from 1 species